GUCGCUCUUUUGUUGGUCUGGCUGACUUCUGUUCCUCUUUUAAAAAUUUAAGUUUGGCCGGGUGCGGUGGCUCACGGGGCCCCUGAUUGUCUGAAGGUUGCGCUGGCACGCGCAACUUCCGGGACAGAGGCUGUGGCUGGAAGGAGCUGGGCAUCCGGCCUGAGGCGCAGCGGUCGCGUUAGUUCGGCCCAAUGGCGGCACCGCUGCUUCACACGCGUUUGCCGGGAGAUGCGGCCGCUUCGCCCUCUGCAGUCAAGAUGCUGGGCGCGUCGAGGACUGGGAUUUCAAAUAUGCGUGCAUUAGAGAAUGAUUUUUUCAAUUCUCCCCCAAGAAAAACUGUUCAGUUUGGUGGAACUGUGACAGAAGUCUUGCUGAAGUACAAAACGGGUGAAACAAAUGACUUUGAGUUGUUGAAGAACCAGCUGUUAGAUCCAGACAUAAAGGAUGACCAGAUCAUCAACUGGCUGCUAGAAUUCCGUUCUUCUAUCAUGUACUUGACAAAAGACUUUGAGCAACUUAUCAGUAUUAUAUUGAGAUUGCCUUGGUUGAAUAGAAGUCAAACAGUAGUGGAAGAGUAUUUGGCUUUUCUUGGUAAUCUUGUAUCAGCACAGACUGUUUUCCUCAGACCGUGUCUCAGCAUGAUUGCUUCCCAUUUUGUGCCUCCCCGAGUGAUCAUUAAGGAAGGCGAUGUAGAUGUUUCAGAUUCUGAUGAUGAAGAUGAUAAUCUUCCUGCAAAUUUUGACACGUCACAGAGCCUUGCAAAUAAUAGCAAGAUAUGUACCAUUGACACCGUGGUUUCUCAUGCCAAUACUGGUGGAAAAAUUUCCAUUUGUUCGAAAAUCAGAGAGAACACUGGAAUGUUACGUUCAUAACUUACUAAGGAUUAGUGUAUAUUUUCCAACCUUGAGGCAUGAAAUUCUGGAGCUUAUUAUUGAAAAACUACUCAAGUUGGAUGUGAAUGCAUCCCGGCAGGGUAUUGAAGAUGCUGAAGAAACAGCAAAUCAAACUUGUGGUGGGACAGAUUCCACGGAAGGAUUGUGUAAUAUGGGAUUCGCAGAGGCAUUUUUGGAACCUCUUUGGAAAAAAUUGCAGGAUCCAAGUAAUCCUGCCAUCAUCAGGCAGGCUGCUGGAAAUUAUAUUGGAAGCUUUUUGGCAAGAGCUAAAUUUAUUCCUCUUAUUACUGUAAAAUCAUGCCUAGAUCUUUUGGUUAACUGGCUGCACAUAUACCUUAAUAACCAGGAUUCGGGAACAAAGGCAUUCUGCGAUGUUGCUCUCCAUGGACCAUUUUACUCAGCCUGCCAAGCUGUGUUCUACACCUUUGUUUUUAGACACAAGCAGCUUUUGAGCGGAAACCUGAAAGAAGGUUUGCAGUAUCUUCAGAGUCUGAAUUUUGAGUGGAUAGUGAUGAGCCAGCUAAAUCCCCUGAAGAUUUGCCUGCCCUCAGUGGUUAACUUUUUUGCUGCAAUCACAAAUAAGUACCAGCUCGUCUUCUGCUACACCAUCAUUGAGAGGAACAAUCGCCAGAUGCUGCCAGUCAUUAGGAGUACCACUGGAGGAGACUCAGUGCAGACCUGCACAAACCCACUGGACACCUUCUUCCCCUUUGAUCCCUGUGUGCUGAAGAGGUCAAAGAAAUUCAUUGAUCCUAUUUAUCAGGUAUGGGAAGACAUGAGUGCUGAAGAGCUACAGGAGUUCAAGAAACCCAUGAAAAAGUUGUUCUGGAGAAUCAUGUAGCGACAGAUGAAGACGAACCUGCUUUGAAAUGCCAGCGACUAGAAAUCAAUUGCCAGGAUCCAUCUAUAAAGUCAUUCCUGUAUUCCAUCAACCAGACAAUCUGCUUGCGGUUGGAUAGCAUUGAAGCCAAAUUGCAAGCCCUGGAGGCUACUUGUAAAUCCUUAGAAGAAAAGCUGGAUCUGGUCACGAACAAGCAGCACAGCCCCAUCCAGGUUCCCAUGGUUGCCGGCUCCCCUCUCAGGACAACCCAGAUGUGCAACAAAGUGCGAUGGUAAGAACAGACCAGGGUGCCGGGGCCUUCAGGUCACUUGGGGAGAAGCGCGUCACCUCCUCGCCCAGGCCCGCAGCUUAGUGGCUCAGUUUGCUGGAGAUGCGCAGUGUCUGCCUCAGCAGUCUCAGCAGUUUCUAACUAAAGCUGACUUUAGUUAGACCGAAACCGAACACAUGGCAUCCUGCCAGGAUGACCUGAAGUCAUCCUCACCUUUCCUUUCCACAUAAAGCCGGCCCAUACACCUUUUCUUUGGAACUAACCCACCAGAUCUUAGAAGAUGUACACGUGCUUCUUUCCUUUUUCCUACUCUACCUGGCUAGUCUUUAGAUAUGUUUUUCUUCGUAUGUGGUGUUUAUACAUUUCACAUGAAUAUAUCAAACUUUUCAUUCAAA